AGAGGAAGUAAAAGUCGUAACAAGGUUUCCGUAGGUGAACCUGCGGAAGGAUCAUUAUUGAAAUAAACCUGAUAAGUUGUUGCUGGUUYUCUAGGGAGCAUGUGCACACUUGUCAUCUUUGUAUCUCCACCUGUGCACCUUUUGUAGACCUUGGGUAUCUAUCUGAUUGCUUUAGCAACUCAGGAUUGAGGAUUGACUUUCUGUCUCUUCUUACAUUUCCAGGCCUAUGUUUUUCAAAUACCCUAAUGUAUGUUUAUAGAAUGUAAUCAAAUAGGCCUUUGUGCCUAUAAAUUGAUACAACUUUCAGCAACGGAUCUCUUGGCUCUCGCAUCGAUGAAGAACGCAGCGAAAUGCGAUAAGUAAUGUGAAUUGCAGAAUUCAGUGAAUCAUCGAAUCUUUGAACGCACCUUGCGCUCCUUGGUAUUCCGAGGAGCAUGCCUGUUUGAGUGUCAUUAAUAUAUCAACCUUUUUUUUUUUGGUUGGAUGUGGGUUUGCUGGCCACUUUAGAGGYCAGCUCUCCUUAAAUGCAUUAGCGGACAAUAUUUUGCCAAACGUUUCAUUGGUGUGAUAAUUAUCUACACUAUUGAUGUGAAGCAAGGUUCAGCUUCUAACAGUCCAUUGACUUGGACAAUUUUUUAUUUAUUAAUGUGACCUCAAAUCAGGUAGGACUACCCGCUGAACUUAAGCAUAUCAAUAAGCGGAGGAAAAGAAACUAACAAGGAUUCCCCUAGUAACUGCGAGUGAAGCGGGAAAAGCUCAAAUUUAAAAUCUGGCAGUCUUUGGCUGUCCGAGUUGUAAUCUAGAGAAGCAUUAUCCGCGCUGGACCGUGUACAAGUCUCCUGGAAUGGAGCGUCAUAGAGGGUGAGAAUCCCGUCUUUGACACGGACUACCAGGGCUUUGUGAUGUGCUCUCAAAGAGUCGAGUUGUUUGGGAAUGCAGCUCAAAAUGGGUGGUAAAUUCCAUCUAAAGCUAAAUAUUG
rnacentral:rRNA from 1 species